rnacentral:sRNA from 1 species
GCCUAGCCCCGAUAGUAAUGAAAUCCUUUUAUGCCGGUGUUCGGCAUAAAAGAUUGGAAUGAAUAGCGGGACAAAAC